AUUAGUACCCGUGUAGUCCCAGCCGUAAACUAUGCGCGUUAGGUGUAUCGGUGACCACGAGUCACCGAGGUGCCGAAGGAACCGUGAAACGUGCCGCCUGGGAAGUACGGUCGCAAGGCUGAAACUUAAAGGAAUUGGCGGGGAGCACCACAACGGGUGGAGCCUGCGGUUUAAUUGGACUCAACGCCGGGAAGCUCACCGGAUAAGACAGCGGAAUGAUUGCCGGGCUGAAGACUCUGCAUGACUAGCUG
rnacentral:rRNA from 1 species